UCGGACGUGGUGUAGCGUUACACGGCCUCGUGUGGUGCGAGGAUCGCAUAUCUCAGACAAUUGCGAGGCAGUCCCGGGUUCAAUUCCCGGCGUCCGAG